rnacentral:rRNA from 1 species
GACGAACGCUGGCGGCGUGCCUAAUACAUGCAAGUAGAACGCAGUUGCGGACGGGUGAGUAACGCGUAGGUAACUUGCCGCAUGGCGGGGGAUAACUAUUGGAAACGAUAGCUAAUACCGCAUAUUGUGAGAUGGACCUGCGAUGUAUUAGCUAGUUGGUGAGGGAAAGGCGCGCCCAGGCGGAGAUACAUAGCCGGCCUGAGAGGGUGGACGGCCAAACGUGGACUGGGACACGGGCCCGAACUCUAACGGAGGGAGCAGUAGGGAAAUUUUGGAAAUGGACGGAAGUCUGACCGAGGAACGCCGCGUGGGAGAAGAAGGUUUUCGGGGUGGAAAGCUCUGUUGUUAGAGAAGCGGUACCUAAACAGAAAGGGACGGCUAACUACGUGCCAGCAGCCGCGGUAAUUC